rnacentral:misc_RNA from 1 species
CCCGGCCCCGCUGCACCACGUACCAUAAUCCAGGUCCAGACCUGCCUCUCUACCUGUUCUCUGUCCGCCCUGCAGCCGAGCUUUUGCCGCCGUAGCCGCCGCCGCCGCCGCAUUAGCCGAGCGAAAAACGGUCCGGUUUCCCCGCAUCCGCAUCCGCAUCCGCAUCCGUCACCCGAUCCACCUGCACGCGACGAACCGACUACAGACUCACGAUCAGUGCCGGCGAAGAACCCGUCCUCUCUGGAUCAUCCUGACCGACGGCAAGUCUUACUGCUACAUUCGAUUCCCUCGUGAGUACGCGACGCGUUGCAACGAAUGAAGCACAAGGGUGACGCCAUGACUGUGAAGUCUGAGCAUACGUGGGACCGCUUAAGAAGCACCUCCCCCGAAUCCUCCCCGGCGAAAAUAACUCGCCUCACCUCUCCCCGCUCCUUGUCCUCUUCCACCUCCUUCCCGAUCGUCAAAACAUCCCUUAAUAACAUUCGGAAUCUUGUCAACGCAGCAACCAUGGACAAUAUGGACCCCAAACCAAUGCUCAACGACGAUCCGUCGGUCACGUUAACUAUUCGUCUCAUUAUGCAGGGAAAGGAAGUUGGCAGCAUAAUUGGAAAGAAAGGAGAAAUUGUAAAUAGGUUCCGUGAAGAGUCCGGUGCCAAGAUAAAUAUCUCAGAUGGCUCCUGCCCAGAACGUAUAGUCACUGUAACCGGUCCUACAAACUCGAUAUUCAAAGCGUUUACAUUGAUUUGCAAGAAGUUUGAAGAAUGGUGUUCCCAGUUCCACGAUAUUCAAGGAAGCGGCGCAGGUGGUGGCGGCGGCGUUCCAAGGCCGCCGAUCACUCUUCGGCUGAUAGUUCCUGCCUCGCAAUGCGGAUCUCUCAUUGGAAAGGGAGGAUCAAAGAUAAAGGAAAUUCGCGAAGUUACCGGCGCCUCUAUUCAAGUCGCAUCCGAAAUGCUACCAAACUCAACGGAACGUACAGUGACUAUCUCGGGCACCAGCGAGGCUGUCACGCAGUGCAUCUAUCAUAUCUGCUGUGUCAUGCUAGAGUCCCCUCCCAAAGGUGCCACGAUCCCUUAUCGCCCUAAACCCCAAGUUGGUGGGCCAGUGAUCCUGGCUGGUGGGCAAGCCUACACCAUCCAGGGUAAUUACGCGGUGCCCGCCCACUCGGACAUGGGCAAAUUGGGGAGCAAUCCUCUCGCUGGUCUCGCAGCUCUAGGUCUUGGAGGUCUCGCCACGCCUGCCAACACAGGCGGACUAAAUCCAGCUGCUUUAGCAGCACUCGCUGGAAGUCAGUUGCGAACUAGCAACACCAAUAGACAGCAGCCAGCGGCUAACAACCAGACGCAUGAGAUGACCGUUCCCAACGAGCUGAUCGGAUGCAUCAUUGGCAAGGGUGGCACGAAGAUAGCUGAAAUUCGUCAAAUAUCAGGGGCCAUGAUUCGCAUUAGCAAUUGUGAAGAGAGGGAAGGAGGAGCGACUGACCGCACCAUAACUAUCACUGGAAAUCCAGACGCGGUCGCUCUUGCACAAUAUCUCAUCAAUAUGAGUCUACAAUUUCUGUGCGAAUGUAAGAGGCGGAGAGAUAGAGCUAGAGAGAGAGAAAGCGAGAGAGGAAAAGCGAAAGAGACAAGAAGCGAGAGAGAGAGGAAGCGUAUCAUGGACUCGGAGUUAUUGAAAAACAAUAACAUCACCGCACAUUCUUUGACAAUCACUUGUCGCUAAAUUUCAUCUAAACAAUAUCCCUAAUAUGUAUUUCUCAAUUUUUCUAUAAUCAGUUUUUUUUCUCAAUCCAAUCAGUCGAGAGUGUAACGUUUUCUAUUCAAUUUACAACCUAUGUAUUUAUAUAUGCUAUUUUUGUGUUUGCUUUUUUAUUACUGACUUUUUUUCGUUUGUUUCGCAGCAUAAUAUUAUUUUUCAUAUAACCUUGCGUUUUUAUUCAUCCGAGUACCAUUAUACUUGUAUUGCGAGACACUGUGUGUGCGUACUUCUUUUUUUUCUCCCCCCAUCAUUAUUGCUAGUAAUAUCGUUUCGUGCAUUGCUUUUCUUUUUGAUGAUGAUGAUUAUAUUCUGAUUUGAAUUUAUUUUUCGGACAAUCGGAUUUUUUUUCCAAAAAUUCAUUCUUUUUUUCUGCACAAUUGAAACAUGUUACAUUUUUAAGAUACUUACAUAAACCUCGUUAAUUGAGCGUACAUAAAUAUUUUUAUAUAUAUAUAUAUAUAUAUAUAUAUAUAUGUAUGUAUGUAUGUAUGUAUAUAUACAAAUAUACAUGUGUACAUGUACAUGUACAUGUUUAUCGUACAUACAAAUCAUAGACGACUAUUUUGUCAGCACCAUACACUGCGAUAUUAUCGCGAAUCAUGAAUCUUGCUGCUAAAGAAUUUUAAAUAAGGAAGAAGAAGAAAAAAUUGAAAGUCGCGAAAAUUUCACGCAAGCGUAACACAAGAUUGUUCUGAUACUUUGCAAUCGCAAGUGUCAUUCCACAAUUUGUCAAUCAUCAAGUUGUAAUCACUUAUCUCUGCAACGCCUUUGAAGGAUGAAAAAAAAAAAAAAACCAAUCAUAUAAAUAUUGAUCAUAAUUAAUCAUACUAAUCAUACAAUAUUUAUAUAUGUAUAUAUGGCAUAAAAAGGCAUUGCAUACCUGUUGUCAAUUGUUUUUUUUUUACGCACGAAUCCGUGAUACUAUGAAAGCGAAGUAAAAACAAAAAUGCUUGGUUCUGGGUAUUAGCAUUGGUCUCUUACUAUACUCAUGUAUAUGUAUAUGACGAGAAGGAAAGUGUGAUUGAAAAAAAUACCAGAAAGAAAAUAAUGUUAAUUCUGUACACGUAUCCGUGUCGGCUAUCAUGUAACUUACAUCACUAUAUAUAUGUACACACAGAUUGUGUUUUGAUUUUGAAAAAUAACUAGAAAGAAGAAGAAAAAGAAUAAAGAAACCAAUUCGAAAAGCAAAUGAGUUGAUUUGCGUGGAAUCGAAAAAUCGAUAUGGAAUAUGGGGAAUAUAGUAUGGUAGUGAUAAAUUUUGAGAGUUUAUUAUUCACUAAACUCUUCUUGGUUGCCUCUUGAUGCGAUACAGUUUAGAUUAUCCUUGAUAUAUAUAUGUAUAAUGUAUAUGUAUAUAUAUAUAUUAUGUGUGUAUAUAUAUAUAUAUACACAUAAAUAGCGUAUUAUUAUUCCUAUUAUUAUUAUUAUUAUUAUUAUUAUUAUUAUUAUCAUCAUUUUUAUAUUUACUCAUAUACUCUAUUCAACUGUACUGUGUUUCGUAAAGCAUCGUAUCUACCUAUCUUCACACUCACACAUGCAACCACACACACAGAGAGAGAUUGAGAGGGAGAGAGAGAGAGAGAGAAAGAGAGAUACGCACUGCAUCAUUGAUACAAUAAAUUAAUCACUCAAAACAACAAUCAUGUCAUGUCAAGCAACGUAUGAAGUAAAUGGUCUUUUUUUUUUUAUCAGCGGUCUCUUCCUCUGUACAAUAUAUCAGCGUUCAUGUAUCUAAUAUCAAUAUUUCUAAUAUUUUUGUAAUUCUUGAAAAAACAAGAAAAUUCGAAUUCAUAUCAUAUUGAAAAUCGUCUCGAUUGAAUAAACGUAGAUUGACAUUUUGUAAUAUUUUCGAUCAUUCAACGUAUCAAUUCCUAGCCCGAAAAGAACUGCUUCUUUUGUUAUUUCUUCUCUUUUGUUGUUAUUCUGUUUCUGCUGAAUCUAAAUCUGAAAGUGAAAUAGUAAACGCAAAAAUAGAACACACAAAAAAAAAAAAAAAUACCUACUGUUAACAAUUGAAGCUUUCUGUCUUCUUUCUAUAUGAAUAUUCGUGUGCUCAAUUCUGUAGUGUUAAUAAGAGUAAAAGGAAGAAAGAGAGAGAGUGGAAAGUUAGAGAGGGAGAUAUAUAUAUAGAGAGAGAGAGGAGAGAGAGAGAGAGAGAAAGAGAGAGAGAGAGAGAGAGAGAGAGAGAGAGAGAGAGAGAGAGAAUCGAUAUACCUUUAAUAAUCAAGAUAGUUGAUUUUUUCAAAUCGCGAUUAUAAUCAUAAUUAUUGUAAAUUGAAUAAAAAUCCCAAUCAAAUCUGAAGUUGCAAAUUGCUAGACCAGUUAAUUAUGUAUAAUAUAAUUGAUUUGCGGGCGUUAUUCUGAAAGUAAUUCAUCUUUCAUACUGGCGUAACACGAGAAAAUUCAAAAUCUUUCAAAUAUGUACCAUACAAUUGGUCCGGCAACGUUACCGACGAAAUAUGAUUGUGUGUUCUUUAUAUAUAUAUUAAUAUCUAUUAUUAUUAUUAUUUUUUUUUUUUUAUAUAAACAGAUACUAUAUGAAAACAUUGACUUCAUUUCUUAGUAACGUAAUAAUCAAUUUAGAAGAAAGAAAAAAAAAAUGAAAAUAAAUGAAAAAUAAAUAUGGGAGUAUUCAUACGUCGCAUUAUUGUAGGCCAGGACCAUAGGAAGAUAUAAGCAUGUGUGGUUGAAUUUCUUCACGCACAUAUUGCUGAAGCUAUUAUUAUACAUUGUGUGCUUAGCGAAAGAAAGAAGAAGAAAAAAGAAAUGACGAAAAAUUGAAGGAAAAAAAAAAACAUGGCUAUUCUGUAUCACCUUGUUGAAUAAAGCUAGGCAUAUUUAAUACAAACAUAUUCCUUUGUCUUCCUUUCAAAUCUGAAAUUGCAAAAGAAUGGACUUUGCAAAUGCGUGUAUUGUAUACGCGGAUCCAGGGUAUAUAUUUUGCAAUUACUAAAAAAGAAGAAGAGAAAAUUAUAACAUAGACUCUGUUUUUCAUUCCUAAGGAUUGAAAUUGUUCUUAGAAACGCUUUAGUGAAUUUAGUUUACUUUCCCUCUAUGCGUGUAAUCGUUAUACUUUUCCUUUUCUUUCCAAAAAUUCAUUUGAUGGAAAUACAUUAUAUUUGACGUCCGUUCUUUUGCAAUUUCAUAAUUUGUGUAUCCCCUUCCACGUUCAUACAGGUCCAUUGUAUGUAUCUCCCGACGAUAACUCCAUCGAGUUGUGAUAAACCCCCAUCCGCCCAAAAAGAAAACAGAAAAAAAAAUAUUAAUGAAAAAAUCUAAUAAUUUGUAAAUACGUAUUGUUACUUUGCUUAAUUACGACAUGGUGAAAAAAAAAAAUUUGCAUAUCUGAUGGAAAAACUUGCAAUUUCGAAUCGAUGAUCUUCUAUUCGCUACUUACACGUUAUUAAAUAUGAUUGUUCGACAGAACGUUUUGAAUUUCUACAACAAUAGUAAUGAUAAUUUAAAUAAUCGAUUGAUAUUUCUCUUUUUUUUUUUCUAUUUUGUGAUAGUUGUGCGAGGGUGUGCGAUCUUCGAAGAUCAAAGAAAGAAAAAGGUGAAAAUGUUGUACGCAGAAAAAUUUUAACUCUGAUAUAAUUGUUGUUCCUUUGAUGGUUCUUCUUCGACGAAAAUGAUGCUAAUAAUUUCGAUGAUAAGACUGUAUGUAUAUAUAUAUAGGUAUAUACAUACAUAUACGAAUGUAUAAAUAUAUCUGUACAUAUAUUUAUAUAUAUAUAUAUUGUAAAACGUACAUGCCGAAGAGCGGGGAGACUCGUUCAGAGAGAUCUAAAGAGAAAAAGAGAGCGAGAGAGAGCGAAGAUGUAUCCAUCCAACCAACUUGACCCAGGCUCCUGCCCGCUACCGGAUAUCGAUGGAGACAGCAGGAAUGGCGAUCCCAGCGUAUCAUUACAUAACACCGAACCACAUCGUUAAAUCUUCGAUUCACUAAAGACGGGCUCUACGGAAAGAGUUUGAAGAAGAAGCAAAUGUUGGAGAUGAAACAAAGAAACAGUAAAGAGUAAAAAGGAUAUACAUACACACACAUAUAUAUAUAUAUAUAUAUACACAUACAUAAAUAUAUAUAUAUAUAGCGAGACACAUAUAUACACAAUGCUGUCAAAGCGUUUGGGGCUGAGCCAAAAUUGUGUUCAUCCAACCAACUUUUUGCAGUAAUUAUUACGCGUAACGUGAGACGUUAUUACGUGGUUAAAUACGCGCAAACAAACAUGAAACAUGUUGGAGCACUUUGUUGAAGUGUAAUAACUUGUAUAAAGUACGCAUUGCGACAUGAUGCUGCAGCCCCACGAGCUGCUGCUGACGAUUGGUAAAGGGAACAAGCCAAAGAUAUGUUAGUUUUCAUUUUUAUAUAUUUAAACAAAGAUAAUGAAAAAAAAAUUUUAAAGUAAAAAGAGGACUAAGGAAAGGUGAAUUAGAAGAGGCCGAAGAGGAGGAAGGAAAAUAAUAAUUAGGAGAAGAAUGAUAGUAGUAAGAUAUUCGUGCGAGUAUUUCUAGACUGGUUGAUGUUAGACUGUUUUCUUUUCUUUUUUUUUUUUUUUUUUUUUUUUUUUUAAUCGACAAAUGUGGCACAGUCGAAAUUCUACGGACACGCUCAACGUUGCUCGCGGUAAUUGGAUCUGUUUCUGACCGACUUGCAAUCAAUUUAUAAGAAUCGAGGAUCCUACUCUGGGUUCAAGCAAGUCUGGCGUGUCUUUUUUUUUUUUUCCCCUUGUGAAUCGAGUUCCAAGGCAAGGAAGAUAGAGUUCUUCGAACUUAGGACAGAUUGUAAGUGACAAGUCAAAUGUACUGAAAAUUGUGCAAACAAAAGCAUCAAAGUAUGACUUGAGUUAAAUUUUGAGCACUAAGUACAUUUGAAAUCAGUUUUCUUCUUGCGUAGCUUGUCUGAAACUUGUAAAAAAGCGCUAGACACGCCGAAGAACUUUCGCGGAUUGAUUAGAAGUUUACGAUCGAAUUUCAAUCUUCUAGCAACACUCGUAAAUUCACAACAAUAAACAGUUUACCUUGGCAAUAUUUUUUACAAUUCAAUUACGACGAGCCGUCGAGCCUGCGAAUUGUGGAACUGACAACGAGUACAAAGUACUCAAAAUACGUCAUAUUUAUAUAAAAAUUGUAGUUGCGUAGCUUUUGCAUGCAAACUCAAUUCGAAAUUAUUAUUGUUGAUAGUUAUUAGUUACUAUUAUUAAUUAAUAUUAUUAUUAUACGGUGUUAUUUUAUACUUGUUAUGCAGUGUUCAAGGACACUCGAUGAUGAAGACCUUAUGUAUAUACGACUGUCUGACUUGGAUAAAAUGAUAUCAUUUUACUGCUGCAAUACGUGUUUUACCUUGCGAAUGAUGAUGCGAAUUCAAUGAGCCGGCGUUAAUUAUACGAUUGACUUUAGCAAAAGAGAAAAAAAAAAAAAAAAAGAAAGAAAAAAAAACAAACAAACAAACAAACAAAACAAAAAACUAUAAUAGACUUGUGAACCAAAUAUUUACUCGUAUAUGCAUAUGAUGUUAACGACUACAAUUAUACGUACAUAUAAUAUAUGUUAUACGUGAAAGAAAAAAGAAUCAUUAAAUGAUUCAAUUUUUUCAAAUUACUUUCUUAUUGAAACGUUAAGUCAUUUUCGAGGCAAAAUUCAGUUGUGAAUACGAAGAAGACGAGAAGAAGAAGAAGAAUAAGACGUGAAUAAAAAAAAAAAAAAAAAAAAAGUGACGACAAAAUGAAGGGAAAAACCAAACAAAAAAUUAUUAUUAUCAUUAUUCUAUUAUUAUGUGAAGUAUGAAUAGUAAUAUAUAUUUAUUAUACAAUUAAAAAUUAGGAUAAAUGAAAACAAAAAAAAAAAAGAAAAAAAAAAGAAAUAUAGUAGCGAGAUAAAAGUGCGAAUUUAAAGCCUAAGUUCGAAAUACGAGGCGUUAUUUUCCCGCUCUCUCUCUCUCUCUCUCUCUAUCCAAUAUCAGUAUUUUGCGAGAUACACUUUAACGCAGCAUCUCAGGCAGAUUGAUUGCGAUUGUGGCAUAGUCUGAUUUUAACGUUAACGUGUGGAGAGAGAAAACCAAAAAAAAAAAAAAACAAUAAUUUCAAUCACAUUGUAAUUCAUUGUU